GAUGAACGCUAGCGGCAGGCCUAAUACAUGCAAGUCGAACGCUCAGUAGCAAUACUGGGAGUGGCGCACGGGUGCGUAACGCGUACACAAUCUACCUCUAAGCGGGGACACCUCCUGGAAACGGGGAUUAAUACCGCAUAAUAUGCCGAAGUCGCAUGACUUUGGUAUUAAAGCAGCAAUGCACUUAGAGAUGAAGUGUGCGUCCCAUUAGGUAGUUGGUGAGGUAACGGCUCACCAAGCCUAUGAUGGGUAGCCGGUCUGAGAGGAUGGUCGGCCACACGGGCACUGAGACACGGGCCCGA
rnacentral:rRNA from 1 species